GCGUGAGUGAAGAAGGCCUUAGGGUUGUAAAGCUCUUUUGCCCGGGAAGAUAAUGACGGUACCGGGAGAAUAAGCCCCGGCAAACUUCGUGCCAGCAGCCGCGGUAAUACGAAGGGGGCUAGCGUUGUUCGGAUUUACUGGGCGUAAAGCGCACGUAGGCGGAUUGUUAAGUCGGGGGUGAAAUCCUGGAGCUCAACUUCAGAAUUGCCUUCGAUACUGGCUUUCUAGAGGCUGGAAGAGGUUAGUGGAAUUCCCAGUGUAGAGGUGAAAUUCGU
rnacentral:rRNA from 1 species